rnacentral:rRNA from 1 species
GUAAGAGCAUUUGGUGGAUGCCUUGGCAUGUACAGGCGAAGAAGGACGUGGCACGCUGCGAUAAGCGUGGGGGAGUUGUGAGCAAACUUUGAUCCCACGAUGUCCGAAUGGGGAAACCCACCUUCACCAUUUCUUUCAUCAUCCUUUCGGGGAUGGCGAGAGAGGUGGAUAAGGUAUCACCUUAGUGAAUAUAUAGCUUUGGUGAAGCGAACCCG